UACGGAGGGGGCUAGCGUUGUUCGGAAUUACUGGGCGUAAAGCGCACGGAGGCGGCUUUGUAAGUUAGAGGUGAAAGCCCGGGGCUCAACUCCGGAAUUGCCUUUAAGACUGCAUCGCUAGAAUUGUGGAGAGGUGAGUGGAAUUCCGAGUGUAGAGGUGAAAUUCGUAGAUAUUCGGAAGAACACCAGUGGCGAAGGCGACUCACUGGACACAUAUUGACGCUGAGGUGCGAAAGCGUGGGGAGCAAACAGG
rnacentral:rRNA from 1 species